ACCCGUUCCCAUCCCGAACACGGCCGUUAAGCCCUCCAGGGCCCAUGAUACUGCAACCGCGAGGUUGUGGGAAAGUCGGUCGCUGCCGGAC
rnacentral:rRNA from 1 species